ensembl:lncRNA
CUUUUUUGUAGUCUUCACUUUGUUAGAAACUUGAUGUUCUGCCUUGUCACAGAAAGGAAUGGGUUUUCUUAAAUCAAUUUUGACUAAAUGACUUGGACUUCUUUUUGGUAUUGGAAGGAAGGGAAGUCACUCUUGUUAGAACCAACAUAAUGGGGAUUUCAUUUGUGGGGACUUUGUUUCUCUAUUUUUGUCCAGAGCAGUCAAGAAUGGUUGAGCUGCUUCUUAACAAAUGAGUAUCUAGUGCAUAGUGUCUUGUUGCUGAGAGAGGUCAAAAAUAAGGGAAAACACUAUGAACACACUCCCCACUGUAUAGUCUCCAAGUGUCCUGUGCUCAGCAGCUCAUGGGUUACUUGAGUGAGAUAUAGUAUUUUUGUGUUUAACAGCUGUUGAUAGAUUUUGCUUCCUUCAGGUUUCUUAUGACAUCCUCAACAUUAUCAGUUACCUCCUGAACUUCUUACUCAGCUCUUUCGAUUGAACAUAGUUUUCAAAUCCAGGGUAGGUUUGCCAGAGACAUCCAGAAAUUGCUCCCUGAAGCCACCUUCAUGACAUCAAGCAGGUUCUAUCUUGGAAACAAUUGAUAUUUGUUGCCUCUUAAUUCUGUGGAUAUUUGAAAUACUAAGAUUAUGUGUAAUGGAAAGCAAACCAUAAAUCUGUGGAGGUGUGUGCAUUUGCAGAGUGUUGGUUUCUGACAGACAUCCUGGCCAAGUGACAGGACAUCUGGAAUGAUAGCACAGUCUUCCUAAAGCAAAGGCUCAUUGCUGCCAUAUUUUACCUCUCUUUUGGAUGUUACUGUUGUCUCAUCAUCACCCUCUGCAAGCUGAUGGAGUUCUCUUCUUGUCCCUACCACAGCUGUAGCCAUUGCUUUCUUCUCCAUUUCAGGUAUGUAGAGAUGUUGCCAGUGCCUUGCAGGCUAAGUAGUUUUGAAGGCAGAAGCAUUGCUCCUGUGCCUCUCAGCACACACAGAAAUACUGUGAGAUGAUGCUUACGGCAUAAGUUGUUCAGCUUAAUAUUUGCAACAUGGAUUCAGAAAUUGAAUUGACCUCCAGUAUCCAUUUGGAUGUAGAGCCCACCUGUCUCUGUGUAUGGGAAUGGUAAGAAUGUGCAAAUUGAUAAGCUCCAUCCAUUUUUUAGAGAUAAACUCCUCAAAUAUGAGUUUACAAUGUGGAAAUCAUGCCUGCCAAUAUCCUUCAUGUAUAGCACAGGCUGUGUGGGAGGAUUAAGUGUGCAUCCUCUUGGGUUUCAAAGAUGCUUCACAGAAGGCAGAAUUCCUUGCUGCUAGUCCAAACCUGUACAAAAUCCCCCUCUUUGAGCCCUGUCCUGCAUUUGAGAUCCUGGAAAUGUUCCCCCCGAUGUAAGCCUGAAUUGGAUAAAGUAUUCAAUCCACCUUAACAUCACAUCUUUAUUUCUUCAACAUACACACCUUUGUUUGCUUCAAAGCCUCCAGAGACUGGGCACCACACUGAAGUGGGGAAACAGUGCUGCAGAUCAAUACAAUUACCCAAUGCACAGUCUAAACUGGUGCCAUAUUUGUGUAAUUCAGAAGAAAGAGCAAGUUUGCCUUGUACAUACAAUGCUUUAAUUGCAGUAAUGGAAACAGGAAGCAUAAGGGGAAGGGUGUCUGUAGGCUGAAGUUUGGUCCCUCCCCUGCAGUGGAGCUGAAUUCAGCCAGUAAUCAUGUGCCUCUCAACAACUGGCAUAAAAUGCCUCUUAGCAGAGGUCAGCACUUAGGAGGCUGCUCCUAACACACAUGGAAACUCACUUGAAGGUAGAAUGAGGCAACAGUUACCAUGAAUUCUCUCUUAGGAGACUGCCACAGAUGAGUGGUUUGGGUCACUUAAGGAAUCACUGCCAAAAGUAAUAGCAGCAGUGGGUUUCAUCUGAGUUUGUGAAGGUGCAUAUUGACAAAGUCCUAUGGCAAGCUUCAUUCUGUGACUCACUACACAGACAAAGCACACAGAACAAACUUGGAUUAGAACCAAAUUUUAAAUUAUUUACAUGGAGAAUAAGGAUGGAAAAGGAUAAAGAUGUAAAAGGUAAGGGAUAUAAUCCCAAUGAGUCAUGAGGUUCUAAGAGGACCCCCU